rnacentral:rRNA from 1 species
ACUGCUCAGUAACACGUGGACAACCUACCCUGAAGAGGGGGAUAACCCCGGGAAACUGGGGAUAAUACCCCAUAGACUAUGGAUGCUGGAAUGCUCUGUAGUUCAAAGGUCCGCCGCUUCAGGAUGGGUCUGCGGCCGAUUAGGUUGUUGUUGGGGUAACGGCCCAACAAGCCUGUAAUCGGUACGGGUUGUGGGAGCAAGAGCCCGGAGAUGGAUUCUGAGACACGAAUCCAGGCCCUACGGGGCGCAGCAGGCGCGAAAACUUUGCAAUGCGAGAAAUCGUGACAAGGGAACUCCGAGUGCCUGUAAAAUCAGGCUGUCCGCCAGUGUAAACAACUGGUGAAGAAAGGGCCGGGCAAGACCGGUGCCAGCCGCCGCGGUAAUACCGGCGGCUCGAGUGGUGGCCACUAUUACUGGGCUUAAAGCGUUCGUAGCUGGCUUGUUAAGUCUCUGGGGAAAUCUUCCGGCUUAACCGGAAGGCGUCUCAGGGAUACUGGCAGGCUAGGGACCGGAAGAGGUGAGAGGUACUCCGGGGGUAGGAGUGAAAUCCUGUAAUCCUUGGGGGACCACCUGUGGCGAAGGCGUCUCACCGGGACGGCUCCGACAGUGAGGAACGAAAGCUGGGGGAGCAAACCGGAUUAGAUACCCGGGUAGUCCCAGCUGUAAACGAUGCGCGUUAGGUGUAUCGGUGACCACGAGUCACCGAGGUGCCGAAGAGAAAUCGUGAAACGUGCCGCCUGGGAAGUACGGUCGCAAGGCUGAAACUUAAAGGAAUUGGCGGGGGAGCAC